GACGAACGCUGGCGGCGUGCUUAACACAUGCAAGUCGAACGGAAAGGCCCUGCUUUUGUGGGGUGCUCGAGUGGCGAACGGGUGAGUAACACGUGAGUAACCUGCCCUUGACUUUGGGAUAACUUCAGGAAACUCGGGCUAAUACCGGAUAGGAGCUCCUGCUGCAUGGUGGGGGUUGGAAAGUUUCGGCGGUUGGGGAUGGACUCGCGGCUUAUCAGCUUGUUGGUGGGGUAGUGGCUUACCAAGGCUUUGACGGGUAGCCGGCCUGAGAGGGUGACCGGCCACAUUGGGACUGAGAGACGGCGCAGACUCCUACGGGAGGCAGCAGUGGGGAAUAUUGCGCAAUGGGCGGAAGCCUGAUGCAGCAACGCCGCGUGCGGGAUGACGGGCUUCGGGGUGUAAACCGCUUUCGCCUGUGACGAAGCGUGAGUGACGGUAAUGGGUAAAGAAGCACCGGCUAACUACGUG
rnacentral:rRNA from 1 species